rnacentral:ncRNA from 1 species
CCGGACACUGGGAGGAUGACAGAUGAGAGCUCUUCUGAUUCGGUGGAUGGUGGUGCAUGGCCGUCUUAGUUGUGAGCGAUUUGUCUGGUUAAUUCCGAUAACGAACGAGACUCUAGCCUAUUAAAUAGGUGCGUGGUUCUCUGCACCUUGCACCCUUCUUAGAGGGACAAGCGGCUCCUAGCCGCACGAAACAGAGCAAUAACAGGUCUGUGAUGCCCUUAGAUGUCCGGGGCCGCACGCGCGCUACACUGAAGGAAGCAGCGUGUUUUUAUCCCUGUCUGUAAAGACUGGGUAACCCGUGGAACCUCCUUCGUGAUUGGGAUAGGGGCUUGCAAUUGUUCCCCUUGAACGAGGAAUUCCCAGUAAGCGCGAGUCAUAAGCUCGCGUUGAUUACGUCCCUGCCCUUUGUACACACCGCCCGUCGCUACUACCGAUUGAAUGAUUUAGUGAGGUCUUCGGACCGAUACCCGGAGCGGCCUUUCGGUUGCGCCGGUGUGUUGGAAAGAUGACCAAACUUGAUCAUUUAGAGGAAGUAAAAGUCGUAACAAGGUUUCCGUAGGUGAACCUGCGGAAGGAUCAUUA